rnacentral:rRNA from 1 species
UAGUCCUAGCUGUAAGCGAUGGGCACUAGGUUGCGGGGGUUUCGAUGGCUCUCGUUUCCGUAACUAAUGCGUUAAGUGCCCCGCCUGGGGAGUACGGUCGCAAGGCUAAAACUCAAAGGAAUUGACGGGGCUCACACAAGCGGUGGAGCAUGUUGCUUAAUUCGAAGCAACGCGAAGAACCUUACCCAGGUUCGAAAUGCUAGGAUUAGCUUGCUGAAAGGUAAGUGACGCCCUCGUGGUGGAACUAGUAUAGGUGUUGCAUGGCUGUCGUCAGCUCGUGUCGUGAGAUGUCGCGUUAAGUCGCUGAACGAGCGAAACCCUUGUCCUUAGUUGCCAGCACCUCGGGUGGGGACUCUAGGGAGACUGCCGUUGUUAAAACGGNGGAAGGUGGGGAUGACGUCAAGUCAUCAUGGGCCUUUAUGCCUGGGGGCUGGCAAACGUGCUACAAUGGCAGGGUACAAAGGGGAAGCAAGACCGCGAGGGUUUAGCAAAUCCCAUAAAGCCUGCCCCAGUUCGGG